GACGAACGCUGGCGGCGUGCCUAAUACAUGCAAGUAGAACGCUGAAGAGAGGAGCUUGCUCUUCUUGGCUGAGUUGCGAACGGGUGAGUAACGCGUAGGUAACCUGCCUUGUAGCGGGGGAUAACUAUUGGAAACGAUAGCUAAUACCGCAUAACAAUGGAUGACACAUGUCAUUUAUUUGAAAGGGGCAAUUGCUCCACUACAAGAUGGACCUGCGUUGUAUUAGCUAGUAGGUGAGGUAACGGCUCACCUAGGCGACGAUACAUAGCCGACCUGAGAGGGUGAUCGGCCACACUGGGACUGAGACACGGCCCAGACUCCUACGGGAGGCAGCAGUAGGGAAUCUUCGCCAAUGGGGGCAACCCUGACCGAGCAACGCCGCGUGAGUGAAGAAGGUUUUCGGAUCGUAAAGCUCUGUUGUAAGUCAAGAACGAGUGUGAGAGUGGAAAGUUCACACUGUGACGGUAGCUUACCAGAAAGGGACGGCUAACUACGUG
rnacentral:rRNA from 1 species